GUUGAGGUCUAUUCUGAUGAAGCUUUUCUUGUAGCUGUACAUCUUUGGAAACAGCUCAUAGAGAAACUAUGAUUUUGCUUUAGUCACAGGACUGUUUGCUAGAUCUGUGGGAAGGAACUGUAAGACAGAG
ensembl:snoRNA